rnacentral:tRNA from 1 species
GCGGACGUGGUGAAAUUGGUAUACACAAGGGACUUAAAAUCCCUCGCCUUGAUCGGCUUACGGGUUCAAGUCCCGUCGUCCGCACCA